GUUGAAAGAUCAGUCAAUCACAAGUGAUCCCCAAACUUAGAAGAGCUGCCCACUCAUUCAGGCCUUACCCCAAUGUCUUUGGUCAUGGACAGGUGAUGGAUCAGGACAGCUGAAGGGAGAAUCAACCCCGAAAGUCACUGUAUUCUUCCUUAUCUUGUCUGAGGGAGGCAACCUCCAGAGGGUUCGUGAGCCACAGGUUGAGAGCCACUGCUAUUAAGGAACACAUUUGUGCUGCCUAGUUCUAUUUUUGUCAACUUGACACAACCUGGGGUUAUCUGGGAAGAAGGACCCUUGACUGAGAAACUGGCUCCCUCAGGUAAGCCUAUAG
rnacentral:lncRNA from 1 species